rnacentral:rRNA from 1 species
UACGGAGGGUGCAAGCGUUAUCCGGAUUCACUGGGUUUAAAGGGUGCGUAGGCGGGCAGGUAAGUCAGUGGUGAAAUCUCCGAGCUUAACUCGGAAACUGCCGUUGAUACUAUUUGUCUUGAAUAUUGUGGAGGUAAGCGGAAUAUGUCAUGUAGCGGUGAAAUGCUUAGAUAUGACAUAGAACACCAAUUGCGAAGGCAGCUUACUACACAACGAUUGACGCUGAGGCACGAAAGUGUGGGGAUCAAACAGG